rnacentral:rRNA from 1 species
CUCUGUGCGAAGGUAGCAUAAUCAUUAGUUCUUUAAUUGUGAUCUGGAAUGAAUGGCUUGACGAGGCACGGGCUGUCUUAGUGUUGAAUGUUUUAUUGAAUUUGGUCUUUGAGUUAAAAUUCUUAGAUGUUUUUGUGGGACGAGAAGACCCUAUAGAGUUUGACAUUUGGUUUAAUUUGCUUAUUUGUUGUUUGUUUGUUUUUGGUGAGUGGGCUUUUUGUUUUGUUGGGGUGAUGGGAGGAAUGUGUUUAACUCCUCUUGGUUUUGGUUAUAUUGAUUUAUAGUUAUUUGAUCCCAUUUAUUUUGAUUGUAAGAUUAAAUUACCUUAGGGAUAACAGCGU